ensembl:lncRNA LINC01193 long intergenic non-protein coding RNA 1193
GUUGCAGGCUAUCGUGUGUUAACCUGUACUUCUGCCGCAGAGUUUGGAGAAAGCGGCAGCAGAUUGUGCUGCCGCAGGCUGGAGCCUGGAACCUGGAGCCCUGGAGCCUUGAAUGGUGUGUGGUGGCAAUGGAGAGAGGCAGCUGGCAGUGACAGCUGCUCCGUGCUUGGCUACAGGAAGGAAAGAAGGAGAAAGCACCUACCAUAGGCUGGAGGCUAGAGCCUGCAGGACUGCGGCUGGCCUCGCUGGCUCGCCUCCCUGGCUGGCCUCGCUGUGGUUGGUGGCAGCGACGGAUACUGCAGCUGGCCAGAGUGUAGAAAGGCAAUGGGGCUUUUUUGGCUGUGUGUGUCCAGCUGUUCCAUGCCAGGAGGAGGAGGAGUUACAUGCUGGAAGCUUGCAGAUAGCCUGGGGCUGCUGCUCGCCUUGCUGCGGUUGGUGGCAGCUACCGAGACUACCUCGCACCAGAGCGCAAGGUAAGCUGUCAUCAGUUGGAGGUAAGCAGAAGACAGUAGAGAGUACAGAGCCCUGGACUGUGACUCAGAGGAUGAGCACCAGAUCCAGUUUGCUGUGCCACAGUGCUCAGCAUGAUGUAAACUCCACUGCGGACAGAUGCAGCCAAGAAGACAGGUCACCUUCUACCAACUCCCACCAGAGGAAACUCUUCCCCAGGACCCAGUACGUUGGCCCUCUGACCCUGCACACAGCACAUGAUGCUGAGGUUCAGUGCUGAACAAGAGCUACUGAGAGCCAGAGAUUCACUUCUUCCAUGGAGCCCCACUCAUGGAUGGAGGCUCUGUCCCGGGUCCAGUGCCACUGGGAACACUGGGUCUCUGGUUUCUAGCUCUGUCCUAUGGCAGAGGUUCCACCCCACAAUAACCGAAGUGCUGAGAAGGUGGGAAGCUCCUGCCCGACCCUCCACUGAGAGCUCAGCUCCUAGGCUGAGGAAUAAAACAGCUCAACUUUGUCUACACCUGCAGAACCUUGUUUAGGAGCUCUGUCCCAGGAGAGAGGGGGCAAUGGAAUUCAGUCAUAAAAUAUGAUCCUUAAUUAGUCCUAAAAAUCCUAACUUCAGUAACAGCAGAUUGUGGACAAAUUGAAAGCCUGCCAGUGCUCUCAAAAACAGUGGAUGGUGUGGUGGAAAGCCCUUGGAAGGAGACGGGUGGAUGCAUGGGAGAUGCAGGCUACACUGCAGGGCUGCUGGCUUGCAGGAGAGAACCGAGGACAAGGGAGAGCUGGGGAAAGUUCUCUUGUGGUUGAAAUAAAUGCCAGACACUCUUCAAUGGAGCCCAUGUUUGUUUGGUUCAGUCUGUGAAGUAAUUCAAACCUCAGUGCAUGAUUGAAAAUAGUACAAUUUUCCAUCUGCAAGUGGCAGAGCUCAACAUCUGGGUCUGGUCAGGAGAGAGACAGAGAGAGCCCAGCCCAAACCACUGACACCUGGGGUUGACAGUGCUGCUUACAGAUGUGUUCCUUUGAUCUUUGAGACUGGUUUCUCUCACUUAGCAUAAUGCCUGGAGUUCAACUGUAAUGGUUUGUGAAUCGAUCAUUUGAUAUUUUUUAUUGCUGAUGGAUUCAAUUUAUAGAUGCUUCCUAGUUUUUUCACCUACUCAAAUUUUGAGACAUUUAUGUUAUUUUUCAUUUCUAACACACACACAUGUAAUAUCUUGAAUAUUUGAAUAGAGGUUUUGUGUGAAAAUAAGAUUGUAUUUCUCUGAAGCAAAAUUCAAGAGUGGGAUAUUUAGGUCAUGUGUUAAGGGCAUGUUUGAUUGCAGAAAAAACUAAAAAUUAUUUUCCCGA